AUGGCCUGGACUCCUCUCCUCCUCUUGCUGCUUGCUCACUACCCAGGCUCCUGGGCACAGCCUGGGCUGACACAGGAAGAACUGAUUUCAGAGUCUGUGGGGAAGACAGUCACCCUCUCCUGCUCUGGAACGUACGACAAUGUUGGUAGCAAUGAUGCAGACUGGUACCAACAGAUUCCUGGUGCUGCCCCCAAAACUGUGAUGCUUGGAAGUUCUCGACCUUCAGGGAUCCCAGAUCGGUUCACUGGUACUCGGUCUGGAAACAAGGCCUCUUUGACCAUCUCAGAUAUUCAGCCUGAGGACGAGGCUGUUUAUUACUGUUCUUCAUGGGAUGACAGUAUAAACCAUGUCACAGUGCUUCAGACUCAAGGAGAAGUAUCCAGGGACCUCCUUAGCAUAACUCAGGAGACUGCAACUUCUAAGCGACAGUUCAAUGUGAAGUUCUUAGGAACGGAGGUGCUCUUAACAGCCACAGUAGCGAACACCAGAGCCGCCUGGCGAUGCUUGGAGGAGCUACCAAGUAGCUACCAAGAGGUGCUUGAAGUUUAUGUGGUGCCGGGGUCCAAACUCAAGACCUAG